GAUCCUGGCUCAGGAUGAACGCUAGCUACAGGCUUAACACAUGCAAGUCGAGGGGAAACGACAUCGAAAGCUUGCUUUGAUGGGCGUCGACCGGCGCACGGGUGAGUAACGCGUAUCCAACCUGCCCACCACUUGGGGAUAACCUUGCGAAAGUAAGACUAAUACCCAAUGACGUCUUUAGAAGACAUCUGAAAGAGAUUAAAGAUUUANCGGUGAUGGAUGGGGAUGCGUCUGAUUAG
rnacentral:rRNA from 1 species